GACGAACGCUGGCGGCGUGCUUAACACAUGCAAGUCGAACGGAAAGGCCCUGCUUUUGUGGGGUGCUCGAGUGGCGAACGGGUGAGUAACACGUGAGUAACCUGCCCUUGACUUUGGGAUAACUUCAGGAAACUGGGGCUAAUACCGGAUAGGAGCUCCUGCUGCAUGGUGGGGGUUGGAAAGUUUCGGCGGUUGGGGAUGGACUCGCGGCUUAUCAGCUUGUUGGUGGGGUAGUGGCUUACCAAGGCUUCGACGGGUAGCCGGCCUGAGAGGGUGACCGGCCACAUUGGGACUGAGAUGCGGCCCAGACUCCUACGGGAGGCAGCAGUGGGGAAUAUUGCACAAUGGGCGGAAGCCUGAUGCAGCAACGCCGCGUGCGGGAUGACGGCCUUCGGGUUGUAAACCGCUUUCGCCUGUGACGAAGCGUGAGUGACGGUAAUGGGUAAAGAAGCACCGGCUAACUACGUG
rnacentral:rRNA from 1 species